rnacentral:tRNA from 1 species
GGCAGGUUGCCCGAGUGGCCAAAGGGAGCGGUCUGUAAAACCGUCGGCGUUGUCCUACGUUGGUUCAAAUCCAACACCUGCCACAA